GUUCUUGUAGUUGAAUAACAACGAUGGUUUUUCAAACCAUAAGUUCUGGUGAAAACCCGGGCAAGAAUU
rnacentral:tRNA from 3 species